CUCAGAGUUCUUCUCAAGCCCAUGCUCCAUUUACAACACUGAGCCCAAGGUCAAGGAAGACACAGAGCUGGGGUUCUAGCUCAGGAUUGUGAGCCUCCAAAUCCCAAACUCUAUGCGUAGGCAUCUACUCCCUGAAAAGGAGGGGAAGGAGAAGAAAGUGGAGGAGGUAGUCAGCAUGAUCGUAUGGGUUAAACAACAACUUAACACCAGAGAGAGACUCUCCGGAGAGGCACUUGGGCCUUAGGUUCCCUUCUGACAACAGCAAGGGCUUCUAAUGUGAAUGAGGCUCAGGGGAAUCUGCUAGCUAUCUCUGGCUUCCCUGGCACCAUGCAAAGACAUGCUCCUGUAGAAGAGAAUAUUGAAAGCCAUCCAGACCCCAGCUGUAGCAGCACUGGAAGCCAGAAUGGUUUUCUCAUGGAGAAUUCCUGAAGGACCUCCUAUUGAGCUCACCUGAGUGACAUGGAAGGAUGACAUGUGGGACAAUCGGAGUGAACCUGGGGUGGUGAGAACACUGCAGGCAUCCAGUGGAUUCCUUUAAAGCAGGUUGCUCAACUGUGGUCCUGUUGACGUUUCGGCUGGGUGAUUCUCCACUGUGGGGCCUAACCUGGAUGUUGUAGGAUGGUUGGGGGCAUCUCUGGCCCCCAACCACCACGUGCCAGGAACAUCCAGUGCUCAUCCCCAAUGUCUCCAGACACUGCCCAGGGUCCGAGUGCCAUCACUUUCAACUGAGAAUCACUGCUUAGAGGGAAGCAAUUUGUGGAUGAGAAGCAUGCAGGCUGUGACUCACAAUUUCAAACCAAUGAAGUUCAACCUCAGACUGUUGCAAAAAAAAGUACUCCGCACUCACCAACAGUCAACAUAAUUUCAUUCAGCCAAAUCUUGUGUAUUUGCUAGUAAACUGUGCACCGAGUGAAUUAUUUGCAGCAUUAUUUAAGACCCUGAAUUAACAUUAUCUAACAUGUUUGGAAGCAGGGCAGCCCUCAAAUCUCUGGUUAAUGUGAUUUCAGGAA
rnacentral:lncRNA from 1 species